UCCUCCAAUCAACGUCUUCUCCUCCUCAUCUCUUACAGAACUCACAUCUCUCGCUGCAACAUUCACAACAAAAACAUGGAAACAUAACAAAGCCAAAAGACUAGCUCCACUAACGACACGCCCCAUAUUUUUUUUUGGAGUAUGUUUGUUAAUAAGCAGAGUGCACUGCCCGAUGAUUAAAACCUAUCAAGCAUUACGGUCGAUUAUAUAGCAACACUUAAUUAUCUACUUUAAUCUUUGCAUUAACUUACUUCAACCACUAACUACUACGUACUCCUACUACUCACUGCAUUCAAUUCCCUAAAUCUCUUCUCCACAUGUUUUCUAGUAUAACAAAUCUUACUAUA
rnacentral:lncRNA from 1 species